UGUGGGAGCGGGCUUGCUCGCGAUACAGGCGGCGCGGUUUAACGGUAAAACGCAGCGCUCCAAUCGCGAGCAAGCCCGCUUCCACA
rnacentral:misc_RNA from 1 species